GCAAAUUCGGAAGAAAGAGUGAACUGCUUCGGCAUGACAAAGAAUGGGCAAAGAGAAACCAGAAAUGAUGCCACACAAAAGAUGGCUGACAGCUUCCUCUGGCGACUUCUCGCAAGAAAGGAAGUUCGGGCCCCCACACACCUGAUAACAUCUAAGCAGAUGAGGAUCCCAAACAUGUUCCAGAACAUCAGCUUCAAACAAACCCCAGCCAAAGCUGGCAUCAGUCCCUCCUACCCAAAGUGAUUUAUGAAAUAACACCUGUUGUUCACCUGUCA